CGUAGGGAUAAACCUAUGAUUAUUAAAUAUUUAUUUAAGUAUGAAUAGGUAUUUUUGAGGUUAUAGAAAGGUGAUUUGAGGCUUCAGGAUAAUUCUAAAAUUUUUAAUUUAUUUUUGGAUGAAUUUUUAGAAUGUAGAAGGAUGAAAUUGUGAUACUAGAAGUGAAUUGAGGAUAAAAAAAAAUAGUUCAUUAGGGUACGAGAAUUUUAGAAAAGAAUUUGGGAAGUUAAAUGAGGCAUAAAUCUUAAAUUAGUGUUAAUAUGGACUAUAGAUUUAAGACUUUCUAACUCUUUAAAUUAGAGUUAUUUAUUUUAAUGUAAAAUUAAUAUAUAGUAUUGUGAAAUAAUUAUGUAGAUUAUAUUGACAAAGAUAGUGGUGAAAAAGGAGUUGUGAAGGGGAACUUGUUAUUCAAGACACAAGGAGCGAGUCCGGCCGAGAAAGCACCAGAGGUGUAACUAUGGUGUAUGAGACACCAUCUUUUACGUUGCCUCUUAUUUUGGAUUAUACAAUGUAUCUUGUGCCAACUUAGGACAUAUCUUCUUUGUGAAGCAUGUAAACUCUAAUCCUUUUUAUUAAAAGUAUUUAUAUGACCAAGAGGAUUAUAUCUGUCCCUCUUGAUUCAUGACCUGAUUUAAAUAUCAUGCCAUGAGGAUCCUGUCUGUCCCUCAUGGUUCUAAUUGCUUUUUGAGA